rnacentral:rRNA from 1 species
UGCAACAAAUAUAUCAAUUCAAUUGUCGAUGAAGAAUGCAGCAAAGUGUGUUAUGCAUUGCAAAAUGCAGAAUUUCGUGAAUCAAUGAAUGGUUGAAUGUUGUUUGUAUCUUCGGGAUAUGCUUGAAGUUGUGUUUGAUUCAGUGCUGUU